GUGCUUGCUCAGGCAGCACAUAUGACAAAGUAGAACGAUACAGAGAAGAUUAGCAUAGCCCCCUCUUGGGGAAGGAUGACACGCAAAUUCGGUAAAGCGUUACCACAUUUU